rfam:Heterorhabditis bacteriophora unplaced genomic scaffold Scaffold1078, whole genome shotgun sequence.
UGAGCUCUGAUAUGUCUGGUAUUCUUGGGUUCGUUGUGGAACCAGAAGUAUUAGACAUAUCGAAGAUCGG